AAGAAAAGAAACAGAAUAGAAGAGACGAAACAGAGAAGAAACAGGGGAGAAAGAAAGAAAAAAAGGGAAAACUAGGGAUUUGAAGCUUGAAGUUCAAUAGCUAACAAAGAGCCCAAGGCAUCGGCACGAAAAGGAAAAGAGAAGAUUAUCGAGGAGUAAACGCAAGAAAAUCACGGUCGAUAGAAGCCAAAGGUCCCGGUUCAGCAUCCAGAUCAAUCCCGACUUCAGCAUAAUUUUGGUGAUGUAUAUUUUCUUUUGGUAAUGUGGCAUGUACAUAUGUUGUGUAUAAAAGUUUAGGUGAUAAAUUAUACAUGGAAAUCAUGAAAGGGUAAAAUUUUACAAAGAAACAGAAUUCAGGCAGCACAGUGACGUG